rnacentral:rRNA from 1 species
UCCUACGGGAGGCAGCAGUGGGGAAUAUUGGACAAUGGGCGCAAGCCUGAUCCAGCCAUGCCGCGUGUGUGAAGAAGGCUUUCGGGUUGUAAAGCACUUUCAGUGGGGAAGAAGGCCUUGGGGUUAAUAACCCCGAGGAAGGACAUCACCCACAGAAGAAGCACCGGCUAACUCCGUGCCAGCAGCCGCGGUAAUACGGAGGGUGCGAGCGUUAAUCGGAAUUACUGGGCGUAAAGCGCGCGUAGGUGGCUUGAUAAGCCGGUUGUGAAAGCCCCGGGCUCAACCUGGGAACGGCAUCCGGAACUGUCAGGCUAGAGUGCAGGAGAGGAAGGUAGAAUUCCCGGUGUAGCGGUGAAAUGCGUAGAGAUCGGGAGGAAUACCAGUGGCGAAGGCGGCCUUCUGGACUGACACUGACACUGAGGUGCGAAAGCGUGGGUAGCAAACAGGAUUAGAUACCCUGGUAGUCCACGCCGUAAACGAUGUCGACUAGCCGUUGGGGUCCUAGAGACCUUUGUGGCGCAGUUAACGCGAUAAGUCGACCGCCUGGGGAGUACGGCCGCAAGGUUAAAACUCAAAUGAAUUGACGGGG